rnacentral:rRNA from 1 species
CCACAUUACUCUUGAGGUGAAAUGCUUACACUUUCAUUUAUAGACCAAAUAAUGUUUAAUAUCUAAUUUAAUAUAAUAUUAAAUCUUAAUCUAACCUAUGGCAUUCAUCAUUUACYGCAAAGACNACUUGGGUAUCUAAUCCUGUUUGUGCUCUGUGCCUUCGUCCUUUAACGUCAGUUUUCACAUAGAGGGCUGCCUUCGCCUUUACCGAGUCCCUUUGGUAUCAUAGAAUUUCAUCUCUCCUCCUCAAGUACNGCCCUCUUACAUAAAACCCUAGUCAAGUACUAACAUUUUAGAAGCUAUAUUGACCGUCUAGGUACCCUUUAAACCUAAUUAAGAUGAAUAACACUAGUCUCUUACGUAUUACCGCGACGGCUGGCACGCAAUUAGUCAAGACACGAUAUAUAUACUGUCAUUAUCAAUAUAUAAACAAAGCUUUAUUCAAUUUUAAUACAAUCCUAUAGAUCAUAUUCAAAGAUAUGAUCAAAAUAGGACUUGCCACUUCUCCAAGUUGCCAGUUCAGCCGUUAGGCAUUGACUAAYAUUCUUGAC